AUUGAACGCUGGCGGCAGGCCUAACACAUGCAAGUCGAGCGAGCGGCGGACGGGUGAGUACUGUCUGGGAAACUGCCUGCUGGAGGGGGAUAACUACUGGAAACGGUCGCUAAUACCGCAUACCCUCAGAUGUGCCCAGAUGGGAUUAGCUAGUCGGUGGGGUAAUGGCUCACCUAGGCGACGAUCCCUAGCUGGUCUGAGAGGAUGACCAGCCACACGGGAACUGAGACACGGUCCAGACGCCUACGGGAGGCAGAAGUGGGGAAUAUGGCACAAUGGGCGCAAGCCUGAUGCAGCCAUGCGGCGUGUAUGAAGAAGGCCUUCGGGUUGUAAAGUACUUUCAGCGGGGAGGCGUUACCCGCAGAAGAAGCACCGGCUAACUCCGUGCCAGCAGCCGCGGUAAUUC
rnacentral:rRNA from 1 species